GACAGAGGGGGCAAGCGUUGCUCGGAAUUAUUGGGCGUAAAGAGCUCGUAGGCGGUCUGUCGCGUCGGAUGUGAAAACCCGGGGCUUAACCCCGGGCCUGCAUUCGAUACGGGCAGACUCGAGUGUGGUAGGGGAGACUGGAAUUCCCGGUGUAGCGGUGAAAUGCGCAGAUAUCGGGAGGAACACCAGUAGCGAAGGCGGCUCGCUGGGCCGUUCCUGACGCUGAGACGCGAAAGCUAGGGGAGCGAACAGG
rnacentral:rRNA from 1 species